UGGACUGGUCGCGACUGGCGUUGGGUGGGUCACCACCGGGGAGCGGCAUGCUGUUGGGACACCGCGGAUCGUACGCCUGGGCCGGGGGU
rnacentral:ncRNA from 2 species